rnacentral:rRNA from 1 species
UACGUAGGGUGCAAGCGUUAAUCGGAAUUACUGGGCGUAAAGCGCACGUAGGCGGGUCGUUAAGUCAGGGGUGAAAUCCCGGAGCUCAACUCCGGAACUGCCUUUGAUACUGGCGAUCUAGAGAUCGAGAGAGGUGAGUGGAAUUCCGAGUGUAGAGGUGGAAUUCGUAGAUAUUCGGAAGAACACCAGUGGCGAAGGCGGCUCACUGGCUCGAUACUGACGCUGAGGUGCGAAAGCGUGGGGAGCAAACAGG